ACAAAAUAUCAAAUGUUAAAGCUGCCACAAUAAAUUAUUUCUACUGCCAGUAAUUGCUACACAAACUCCUAUAAGAAAAAGUUGCUGCUGUGAGAAAUAAGUGGUAUCAGAAGCAUUGUUAGCAGAAAGAACACUCACUGCAGAAAAUAAUGGAACAUCUCAAUCUAUAUAUAAACACAAUUAAUUAAAACAGAAACAAAAAUUACCUUCAACUUGCAAUUAAAUAUUACUGAAAAUUCCAAGCCAAGCAUGUUCUAUGGGUGAGAAUGAAAGCCUUCCAAGCUGGACUCAUUUACACACACACACACACACAUGUAUAUAUAAGGCAGAUCAGGACACAGGACUUGGUCAUCUAUAAGAACACAAAACAUUUACUUUGCGUAUUUGUAUGUAUAUACACAGAUAACAGCUCCAUCUCCAUCUCCAAGCUUAGUUUCCAUGUCCAACCACUUGUCCAAUUCAGGCUUAGCUUAGUCAAGGGAGCUCUAUCCUUGAGAUUCAAAGGCAAAGCCCAGAAUCUAUGUAUAUAACGGUGAAGGGGGUUGAAAAAAUCGAACCGUAUUCGGCAGAAAAUUUGAGCCCAACUGCCGGAGAAGAGGCUUCAAGUUAUCAAUAUAAUUUAGUAUUAAUUAUAUUCAAAGUACGUACUAAGUAAAGUUCCACUUAGCCAUGCAGGUGCCUUGUUUUGUAACAUUAAUACUUUGAUUAGCAGCUGCUGCCUCCUCCUCCAUGCAUCGAUGGAUCUUUAUGUGUACGAACAAGGGGGGCCAGUGCUUGCCUUAAGCUGCCAAAACAGUAUGGUUCACGUCUAUUUCAACCCAAAGCAAAAGAGUUUGUCCUUUUCUUCUGAAUGCGAGGGUCGGCAUGUGACCAGUUUUAACUGGAAGGUUUUUAUUGCCUCCAAUACUUUUUGGGUUCCAGUCCAGAACGCGUCUUAAUAUAUCACAACUUCUUCACCACCACACACCACUAGUUUUAAGGUAUUUCUUCUCUUUCCUUCCCAGAUUCACAACUAUUUCCAAAACCUUUGGACUUUUUUUUAUUUUUUUAUUAAGAACAUUUAUAAUUGUUUUGACUUCAUUACCAGUUUUAAUUUAAACCUUAAAAUUACUAUGGAAAGGGUUUUUUCUUAAUUUUUCCUAACUCCUCAAAUGGUGUAUACCCCACAAUAUCAUGGCUCAAUCACAUAGUAGAUUUUUUUUUCCGCAAACUACAAAAAAAAAUAAAUAAAAAAAUAAAAAAAUUGCAACUCUAUGUAAUUAUAGAAGCUAUACAGUUUUCCCCACACAAGUGAACGGCUAUAUAUUAAUGAUCAUGAAGAAAGAAGAAGGGUUGAUGUUGCCCUUGAAAGAAAAAGGGUCCACUGCAAUGAUUUGCCCCAGGCCUCCACUCGCCAGUAGUCCAUCCUAUAACACAUCUAAGAGAGACUGCUAUCAAUUAAGCACAUAUAUUUAUAUGCACUUUUUUGAGAAUUUUUUUUUCAAACUUCCGUGUGGAUGAAAUCACAAUAAUGGAUAAUACGUAGAAUCAAAAUGAAGAAAAAGAACUGAUCGAAGAGGGAUUUUU